rnacentral:snoRNA from 2 species
GAACGGAGUGCAUUGAGUCCCACCGCUCCCCACCAGUACGCGCGUGGGAGCAUCAACUCUCCUAGAUGC